rnacentral:rRNA from 1 species
UACGUAAGUGGCGAGCGUUAUCCGGAAUUACUGGGUGUAAAGGGAGUGCAGGCGGCCUUUUAAGUCUCAUGUUAAAUUUCCCGGCUUAACCGGGAACCUGCGUGAGAAACUGGAAGGCUUGAGUAGAGGAGAGGAAGCUGGAAUUCCUAGUGUAGCGGUGAAAUGUGUAGAUAUUAGGAAGAACACCAGUGGCGAAGGCGGGCUUCUGGCCUUUUACUGACGCUGAUACUCGAAAGCCGGGGGAGCAAACAGG